AGAGCAGAUCCGGGCACCAGGGGAUGGGAAGGGUGGACAUGACUCCGAGAGCAACAGUGCAACACCCAUGCAAUGAGUCUGCGAGGCCGAAUGGAGGCCAGCUGGCUGCAGGGGAGAAAGCAAGAGAGUCUGGCACAAGGUGCACCUGGAGAAGGAAGUAGAGGCCAGGCCAGGGUGGAGGGAACUGGGAGGACCUGUCUGACCACUAACAACCCACCCAAGGAGGCCCUGCUGCUCCCAGAGGAUGCUCCUACCGGAGUUCUCCUAGUUUCUUGCAAGGAGCCCUGGAAAAACAAUCCCACCCUGGGUCUACCAUAGUCUCUGGGACUUUUAAACCAAUGCCCAGCUAGAAAAAAAAAACCUCAGGCAGUUUGAGGAUAGAAGAGGAAAUAAUAUUAAGAGCCUGCCGUAUGUUGAAUGUUUACUAUGUCUCAGUAGAAUAUAAAUGCUUUAGGUUCUUACAGAAGCCCUCCAAGGAAACUACAGAGGCCCUUUGGUACUCCCCAGCUCUCCUUGUUUUCCUGUUUCUAAGCAUCUGAGUGCAUCCUGAUAGCUGUGGACAGCAGAGAGUUGGAACAGGAGAUUGAAGACGUCUCAUCUACUCCCAUGCUUGGCACAUAGUAGGCACUCAACACAUGCUAGACUCUCCCCACCUCCUGUUGCUUCUUGGCACCAGGCUUCACUCUGGACAAGAGUUAACAUCUCAUCCUUUACCCAUGUCUUCUUUGACUGAACAUCUGGCUAUUAGUGGGAGAUGGGUCAAAGAAGUAUUCACUCAUCCUUUCAUCCAGCAAUACUGACAGAGCACCUGCCCUGUGCCAGGCUCAGCCAGAGGCUGGAGAUAAAGACAUGAAUGAGACCCCUGGUGAGGGGUGAGAGACAAAGCAAAGGGCUCAUUUCCACAGAGGAUGAUGGGGAUUCACACCUGGGUUGGGCAAGGCACACAAUGGAGCAGGGUGACAUGGUUGGCUUUGAGUCCCCACCCAAAUCUCAUCUUGAAUUGUAGUUCCCAUAAUCCCCAUGUGUCAUAGGAGGGACCUGGUGGGAGGUAAUUGAAUCAUGGAAAUGGUUUCCACCAUGCUGUUCUUGCGAUAGUGAGUGUGUUCUCAUGAGAUCUGAUGGUUUUAUAAGGUGUUUUUCCCCUCUUCACAUUGUAUUUCUCUCUCCUGCCACCAUGGGAAGAAGGCCAUGUUUGCUUUCCCUUCUGCCAUGACUGUAAGUUUCCUGAGGCCUCCCUAGCCAUGUGAAACUGUAAGUCAAUAAAUCUCUUUUUUAAAUGAAUUACCCAUUCUUGGGUAUGUUCUUAUAGCAGCAUGAGAACAAACUAAUACACAGGGUGACAUGAGAAGGCUUCCUGGGAGACAAUGCCUGAGGUGAUCUCUGAUGAGAAAGUAAGAGGAGGACAUUCCAGGUACAGGGAACAACAUGUGCAAGCACACAAGGCUGAAGUAAACAAACAGGAAGCUGUGAAAAAGGACAGUGAUGAAUGACUAGCCCAACAGGGUAAUUUUGACCCCCGGGGGACAUUUGGCAACAACUGGAGACUUUUUGUUUGCUUUUCACAAUUGUGUGUGUGUGCAUGUAUGCAUGUGUGUGUGCGAGUGUCUGCUACUGGCAUCUAAUAGGUAGAGGUUAGGGAUGCUGCUAAAUAUCCUACGGUGCACAAGAUAGCCCCCCACAACAAAGAAUUAUAUCUGGCCCAAGAUGUUGAGAAACCCUGGACUAGAACAACAAACAUAAAAACAUAUUAUAGUACUUUGACAAUUAAAACUUCAUAGUACUAGCACAUGAAUAGAUAGAGAGACCAAUGGAACAGUUUAAGAAUAUAAAUAUAUACAGGAAUUUAGCAUAUGAUAAAGGGAGCAUUCCAAAUCCAGUGAGAAUUCAGUAAGUGUUGUUGAGACUCCUGGGUAGCCAUCUUGAAAAACAUUAAGCUGGAGCUAUACCUCACACCAUAUAUCAGAAUAAAUUCCACAUGGAUUAAACAUUUAAAGGUAAACAAUAAAACCACACAAGUACCAAGAGAAAAUGUGGGAGAAAUCUUUUAUAAUCUUAGAGUGGGAAAGUCUUUCCUAAUCCUGACUCACAAACCAGGAACUAUAAAAUAGGAAAUUGAUUAAGUCCACUAAUAAAAGUUGAAAAAAACUUUUUAAGCUCUUGCGUGUGAAACAAACAAAAAUCAAACCUGUAUAUAAGCAAAGUCGAAAACAAAUGCAAAUCUGUAAAGGACACACACAACUCAGCAGACAAAGGGCUAAUUUCUUUAAAUUAUAAAGAUGCAUAAACCUCUAAAGAAAAGACCAAUAAAAAUAUGAGCAAAGCAUGUGAAAAAGUGGCUUAUAGAACAACAAUGAAAAUAAAUACAAAUCGCUGUUAAACAUAUGAAAAGAUGUUCAACCUCUGCAUGAUAAGAAAAAUGCAAAUUAAAAGUACUGACAUGCCUUGUUUUUCUUUUUUCAUCUCUCACAUUUGAAAAAACCCAAAUUUGAAAACGCGCAGACAUUUCCAUAUAUUGUUGGUGGGUAUGUCAACCAGUACAGCCCCUAGGAGGGCGAUUUAGCAAUAUUUACCAAAAUAGCAAAUGCAUAUAUCAUCUAACCCAGCAAUCUCACUUCUUAGAGCUUACUCCACAGAUACAUAUAUUUGCAUGCAUAUGAAGUGCCAUAUAUACAAGAUUAUAAAUUGCAGCAAACGAUCAGAAACAAUUUAAAUGCUCAUUAAUAAGGAACUGGUUAAAUAAAUUAGAGGUUGGCAAACUACCAUCAGGGCCCAAAUCUGGCCUUCUUCCUGUUACUGGAGGACUUUCAAGGGAAAAAUAGUUUUAACAUGUUUAAAUGGUUGGAAAAAAUCAAAAGAGAAUUAUAUUUUGUGACACAUGAACACUAUAUAAAAUUCUAAAAUCAGAGUCCAUAAAUAAAGUUUUAUCGGAACACA